CUUCUAAGCUAAAAAAUUUUUCUAAUCGAUAGUGAACGAGUACCGUGAGGGAAAGAUUUAAAUUUGUUAAUUUAUAUUUAUUUGAAGUUGAUGAAUGCAACUACAAAGUGCCUUUUGCAUAAUGAGUCAGUAAGUUAAUAUAUGUAGCAAGCUUGAAAAUAUUUAGGCAUUCUAAGUUACAUGCAUUAGACCCGAAGCCAAGUGAUCUAUUCUUAAACAAGUUGAAGAUGUUUUAAAAUGCAUUGGAGGGCUGAACCCACGUCUGUUGAAAAAUACGGGGACGAUUUAAGAAUAGGGGUGAAAGUCCAAUCAAACUUGGUGAUAGCUGGUUUUCCGCGAAAACUAUCAAAGUAGUACGUUGCUUUUCAAAAAUGUGGGUAGAGCUACUUAUUAAACUUAGAUUUUGCUAAGUUUUAUUAAACUCCAAAUUAUAUUUUUAUUUAGCAGCAGACAGUCAUUAGGCGAUAAGGUUCAAUGUCAAAAGGGAAACAACCCUAAUCGAUGGUUAAGAUCUUAAAAUUAUGAAUUAGUGAAAAAAUGAAAAGUAAUUCGAAUAAACAGAGUAGGCUUAGAAGCAGCCAUCUAUUGGAGAAAGCGUUUUAGCUCAUUAUUUUUACUUAUUUUACUCAUUUAAAAUGUAAGGAGACUUAAAUUCAUAUAUCGAAGCUUCGAAUUAAGUUUAAUUUUUCUUAAUGGUAGCGGAACGUCCUGUAGUCUUUUCUGUUAAUGUUAAAUUGCAUAUUAAAAAUCAGGAGUGCUAAUGCUGACAUGAGUAGCGUCAACCAUGUUGAAAAUAAAUCAUGGUCGUCUAUUGCUCAAGGGUUUCCAGUAAAUUUUAAGUAACUGGGUUUAGUCGGCCCUUAAAAAAAAAGUGAAAACUGUACUUGAUAGGAAAAUUAUUCCGCAUGUUUGCAAAAUAUUUUUGUGUAAAAAAGUACUUUUAAAAGUUUUGCUUAAUAAACUAGCAACUUAAAAAAAGUAUUUUUCAGGAAAAUUUGCAUGAAGUUUGACCGUACUUAGAACCGACACAGGUGAGCUUAUUGAGAAGAUAAAGACGAAUGAGAUAAUUAUACUUAAGGAACUCGGCAAAUUUGCUCCGUACGUUCGCAACAAGGAGUACCUUAAAGGAUUCAAAAAUUAGGGGUAGCGACUGUUUAACAAAAACUCAAAACUUUGCAAAUUCGAAAGAAGACGUAUAAGGUUUGACGCCUGCCCAGUGCUUGAAAGCGAAAAAUACACGUUAACGCUUGUAUCAUAAACUCAAGUAAACGGCGGUCUUAACUAUAAGGAUCCUCAGGUAGCGAAAUUCCUUGGCGGGUAAAUUCCGUCCUGCAUGAAUGGCGUCACGACUACCCCACUGUCUCUAGUAUAAACUCAGCGAAAUUACAUUGUCUGUGAAAAUGCAGACAUCCUACAACAAGACGGAAAGACCCUAUGAUUCUUAACUAUAAUUUUACGUCGCAAUAAUUUUGUGUACAGUACAGUAAAAGUAGGAGUAUACUUAUACAAUUUUGAAAAACUACUCUGUACAUAAGAAAUUGCUUACUGAAGAGAAAAUAUGUAAAAGUGGUAGUUUACUUGGGACGAGGACCUCCUAAACUGUAACGGAGGUGCACAAAAGUAAAUUUUAAUUAGUUUUUUGUAUUAAUAAAAUAUGUAAUGGUAAAAAUUUGCUUGACGGUAAGAGUUACAACUCAAACCGGGACGAAAGUCGGUCAUAAUGAUCCGGCAGUAAUGUAUGGAAAUACUGUCGCUUAUCGGAAAAAAGAAACUCUAGGGAUAACAGAUUUAUCAUGGCUGAGAGUUCUUAUCGACGCCAUGGUUUGAUACCUCGAUGUCGGCUCAUCUUUUCCUGGAGCUGUAACAGGUUCCAAGGGUAUGGUUGUUCGCCAAAUAAUAAGAUACGUGAGCUGGGUUCAGAACGUCGUGAGACAGUUCGGUCCCUAUCUGUUGUGGGUAAGAAAGGAUGUACUUCUCGUAAAUAGCUAAUCUCCACUUUAGGGAUUAAACUAAUAUUACAGGUAGGAAGCUAGUUCAUACAGAUCUAGUGGGCCUAUGCAUUACUCCUAAUGCUGAUCAAUGAGCUGUGUUACAAGCAGUGAACCCUAUGCAACGUGAAAAUAGUCAUUCACGGAGUAUAAGCAGGGCAUAAAUUUAAGUGGAUGUUACUUAUAAACAUUUUAACUCGAAGAG
rnacentral:rRNA from 1 species